CAAUACUUGUCGGAGUGCCCAUAGGGCUGAGACCGUUAAUUCGGGAUCCGUUGAACCUGAUCUGGUUAGUACCAGCGAAGGGAACAAGAGAAUAGAACUA
rnacentral:ncRNA from 2 species